CCUACGGGAGGCAGCAGUGGGGAAUAUUGGGCAAUGGACGCAAGUCUGACCCAGCAACGCCGCGUGAAGGAAGAAGGCUUUCGGGUUGUAAACUUCUUUUAAGGGGGAAGAGCAGAAGACGGUACCCCUUGAAUAAGCCACGGCUAACUACGUGCCAGCAGCUGCGGCAAUACGUAGGUCGGAAGCGUUGUCCGGAUUUACUGGGUUUAAAGGGCGUGCAGCCGGGUAGACAAGUCAGAUGUGAAAUCCACGGGCUCAACCCGUGAACUGCAUUUGAAACUGGUUCCCUUGAGUGUCGGAGAGGUAAGCGGAAUUCCUAGUGUAGCGAUGAAAUGCGUAGAUAUUAGGAAGAACACCAGUGGCGAAGGCGGAUUACUGGACGAUAACUGACGGUGAGGCGCGAAAGCGUGGGGAGCAAACAGGAUUAGAUACCCCUGUAGUC
rnacentral:rRNA from 1 species